rnacentral:rRNA from 1 species
AGCGUACACGGUGGAUGCCCUGGCAGUCAGAGGCGAUGAAGGGCGUGCUAAUCUGCGAUAAGCGCCGGUAAGGUGAUAUGAACCGUUAUAACCGGCGAUACCCGAAUGGGGAAACCCAGUGUGACUCGUCACACUAUCAUUAACUGAAUCCAUAGGUUAAUGAGGCGAACCGGGGGAACUGAAACAUCUAAGUACCCCGAGGAAAAGAAAUCAACCGAGAUUCCCCCAGUAGCGGCGAGCGAACGGGGAGGAGCCCAGAGCCUGAAUCAGCAUGUGUGUUAGUGGAAGCGUCUGGAAAGGCGCGCGAUACAGGGUGACAGCCCCGUACACAAAAGCGCAUGUGCUGUGAGCUCGAUGAGUAGGGCGGGACACGUGGUAUCCUGUCUGAAUAUGGGGGGACCAUCCUCCAAGGCUAAAUACUCCUGACUGACCGAUAGUGAACCAGUACCGUGAGGGAAAGGCGAAAAGAACCCCGGCGAGGGGAGUGAAAAAGAACCUGAAACCGUGUACGUACAAGCAGUGGGAGCACAGGUUUACCUGUGUGACUGCGUACCUUUUGUAUAAUGGGUCAGCGACUUAUAUUCUGUAGCAAGGUUAACCGAAUAGGGGAGCCGGAGGGAAACCGAGUCUUAACCGGGCGUUAAGUUGCAGGGUAUAGACCCGAAACCCGGUGAUCUAGCCAUGGGCAGGUUGAAGGUUGGGUAACACUAACUGGAGGACCGAACCGACUAAUGUUGAAAAAUUAGCGGAUGACCUGUGGCUGGGGGUGAAAGGCCAAUCAAACCGGGAGAUAGCUGGUUCUCCCCGAAAGCUAUUUAGGUAGCGCCUCGUGAAUUCAUCUCCGGGGGUAGAGCACUGUUUCGGCUAGGGGGCCAUCCCGGCUUACCAACCCGAUGCAAACUGCGAAUACCGGAGAAUGUUAUCACGGGAGACACACGGCGGGUGCUAACGUCCGUCGUGAAGAGGGAAACAACCCAGACCGCCAGCUAAGGUCCCAAAGUCAUGGUUAAGUGGGAAACGAUGUGGGAAGGCCCAGACAGCCAGGAUGUUGGCUUAGAAGCAGCCAUCAUUUAAAGAAAGCGUAAUAGCUCACUGGUCGAGUCGGCCUGCGCGGAAGAUGUAACGGGGCUAAACCAUGCACCGAAGCUGCGGCAGCGACGCUUAUGCGUUGUUGGGUAGGGGAGCGUUCUGUAAGCCUGUGAAGGUGGCCUGUGAGGGUUGCUGGAGGUAUCAGAAGUGCGAAUGCUGACAUAAGUAACGAUAAAGCGGGUGAAAAGCCCGCUCGCCGGAAGACCAAGGGUUCCUGUCCAACGUUAAUCGGGGCAGGGUGAGUCGACCCCUAAGGCGAGGCCGAAAGGCGUAGUCGAUGGGAAACGGGUUAAUAUUCCCGUACUUGGUGUUACUGCGAAGGGGGGACGGAGAAGGCUAUGUUGGCCGGGCGACGGUUGUCCCGGUUUAAGCGUGUAGGUGUGUGUUCCAGGUAAAUCCGGUUCACUUUAACACUGAGGCGUGAUGACGAGGCACUACGGUGCUGAAGCAACAAAUGCCCUGCUUCCAGGAAAAGCCUCUAAGCAUCAGGUAACAUCAAAUCGUACCCCAAACCGACACAGGUGGUCAGGUAGAGAAUACCAAGGCGCUUGAGAGAACUCGGGUGAAGGAACUAGGCAAAAUGGUGCCGUAACUUCGGGAGAAGGCACGCUGACACGUAGGUGAAGUGAUUUACUCAUGGAGCUGAAGUCAGUCGAAGAUACCAGCUGGCUGCAACUGUUUAUUAAAAACACAGCACUGUGCAAACACGAAAGUGGACGUAUACGGUGUGACGCCUGCCCGGUGCCGGAAGGUUAAUUGAUGGGGUCAGCGCAAGCGAAGCUCCUGAUCGAAGCCCCGGUAAACGGCGGCCGUAACUAUAACGGUCCUAAGGUAGCGAAAUUCCUUGUCGGGUAAGUUCCGACCUGCACGAAUGGCGUAAUGAUGGCCAGGCUGUCUCCACCCGAGACUCAGUGAAAUUGAACUCGCUGUGAAGAUGCAGUGUACCCGCGGCAAGACGGAAAGACCCCGUGAACCUUUACUAUAGCUUGACACUGAACAUUGAGCCUUGAUGUGUAGGAUAGGUGGGAGGCUUUGAAGUGUGGACGCCAGUCUGCAUGGAGCCGACCUUGAAAUACCACCCUUUAAUGUUUGAUGUUCUAACGUGGACCCGUGAUCCGGGUUGCGGACAGUGUCUGGUGGGUAGUUUGACUGGGGCGGUCUCCUCCUAAAGAGUAACGGAGGAGCACGAAGGUUGGCUAAUCCUGGUCGGACAUCAGGAGGUUAGUGCAAUGGCAUAAGCCAGCUUGACUGCGAGCGUGACGGCGCGAGCAGGUGCGAAAGCAGGUCAUAGUGAUCCGGUGGUUCUGAAUGGAAGGGCCAUCGCUCAACGGAUAAAAGGUACUCCGGGGAUAACAGGCUGAUACCGCCCAAGAGUUCAUAUCGACGGCGGUGUUUGGCACCUCGAUGUCGGCUCAUCACAUCCUGGGGCUGAAGUAGGUCCCAAGGGUAUGGCUGUUCGCCAUUUAAAGUGGUACGCGAGCUGGGUUUAGAACGUCGUGAGACAGUUCGGUCCCUAUCUGCCGUGGGCGCUGGAGAACUGAGGGGGGCUGCUCCUAGUACGAGAGGACCGGAGUGGACGCAUCACUGGUGUUCGGGUUGUCAUGCCAAUGGCACUGCCCGGUAGCUAAAUGCGGAAGAGAUAAGUGCUGAAAGCAUCUAAGCACGAAACUUGCCCCGAGAUGAGUUCU